AGCCAAGUCUCCUGACUGUAGGAACCUAAGCCUCGGGAUUGAAGAAAGCCUGUUUGUAGAAGCAAAGGACAUCCAGAGUGACACAAAGAGAACCCUCCCCUGCCAGUUUGUUUCUCAGCAGCCUCCCACUAUGAAUGGAACCUGCAGCUCAGCAAUUAGAGGAAUUAAGCACCUCCAGGAGAAUGCAAAACAACCAGGAAUCCCCUAAUUAGUGAAUAGGGGAAGAACUGCAGAAUCUAGAGAGAUGUUCUGGCGGCAGAGGAUUGAUGGAGGGAAGAUUUGAAGACAGCAGUGAAAACA